GACGAACGCUGGCGGCGUGCUUAACACAUGCAAGUCGAACGGUAAGGCCCUUCGGGGUACACGAGUGGCGAACGGGUGAGUAACACGUGGGUGAUCUGCCCUGCACUUCGGGAUAAGCCUGGGAAACUGGGGCUAAUACCGGAUAGGACCACUGCCUGCAUGGGUGGUGGUGGAAAGCUUUUGCGGUGUGGGAUGGGCCCGCGGCCUAUCAGCUUGUUGGUGGGGUGAUGGCCUACCAAGGCGACGACGGGUAGCCGGCCUGAGAGGGUGACCGGCCACACUGGGACUGAGAUACGGCCCAGACUCCUACGGGAGGCAGUAGUGGGGAAUAUUGCACAAUGGGCGCAAGCCUGAUGCAGCGACGCCGCGUGAGGGAUGACGGCCUUCGGGUUGUAAACCUCUUUCAGCACCGACGAAGCGCAAGUGACGGUAGGUGCAGAAGAAGGACCGGCCAACUACGUGCCAGCCGCCGCUGUAA
rnacentral:rRNA from 1 species